CCCAGCAAUGGGAUGCGAAUCUCGAAAGCCUGUCUCAGUUCGGAUUGGAGGCUGAAACCCGCCUCCAUGAAGUUGGAUUCGCUAGUAAUCGCGCAUCAGCCAUGGCGCGGUGAAUACGUUCCCGGGCCUUGUACACACCGCCCGUCAAGCCAUGGGAGCCGGGGGUGCCUGAAGUUCGUGACCGCAAGGAGCGACCUAGGGCAAAACUGGUGACUGGGGCUAAGUCGUAACAAGGUAAC
rnacentral:rRNA from 1 species